rnacentral:rRNA from 1 species
UACGUAGGGGGCUAGCGUUGUUCGGAAUCACUGGGCGUAAAGGGCGUGUAGGCGGCUUUUCAAGUCGGGGGUGAAAGCCUGUGGCUCAACCACAGAAUUGCCUUCGAUACUGUUAGGCUUGAGACCGGAAGAGGCGAGUGGAAUUCCUGGUGUAGCGGUGGAAUGCGCAGAUAUCAGGAGGAACACCGAUGGCGAAGGCAGCUCGCUGGGACGGUACUGACGCUGAGGCGCGAAAGCGUGGGGAGCGAACAGG